rnacentral:misc_RNA from 1 species
GCAAUUUUAAAUGGUAAUUUAAAAAAUAGUUCCUUAAGCAAGAUGGAAAACUUCCCCUAAGCAGAAUGGAUACUGAGAAAGGCAAUGAAAUACAGGAAAAGUAAAAUUCCAUACAUGAUUAAUGCUUCUAAAAUCUUUAUCAAACAAGGUUAGCACACCACCUGAUCUGGUGCAGGGAAUUCCAGACUCUUAAAUGAUGUAAAACCUCCAUCUACCACCAAAUUAUGCCCAUUAACAUACUUGGCAUCCUCAGAUGCAAGAUAUAGUGCAGCAUUAGCUAUAUCAAUAGCCUCACAAUUUUCCCCCUCUAAUGUACCAGUGUUGUGUACUAUUUCCACAAGCCGUUGAGCAUCAACACCUGGAUAAAGUCGACUCAUUUCUUCCAUGACAAGUGGAGUUGGAAUAGCGAAAGGUGAUAUGCAGUUGACUCUGAUCCCAUACUUGCGGAGCUCAGAUGCAACAGUCUUAACAAUGCCUAUAACAGUGGCCUUGGACACAGCAUAUGUGUGUUGUGAAAGACCACCAAUGACUCCUGUGACACUGGCAGUACAAAGAAUGGAGCCAGUUCUUCGGGGGAUCAUCACACGCGAGGCAUGUUUGAUCCCAGCCAUUACUCCUCGCACAUUGAUGCUCAUGACUCUAUCAAACAGAGCAAGGUCAAGGUCCACAAUACUUGAAGGAGAGUUGCAGGCUACCCCUGCAUUGUUGUACAUUAUGUCCAGUUGGUUGAAUUUAGAAAUGGCAAAAUCUACAGCAUUGGAUAUAUCAGAUUCUUUAGUUACAUCACAGGCAAUGAAGGCAGCGUUGGAUCCGAGUUCUUUUGCAGUGUCUUGGCCAAGUUGGCGUUGCAUAUCAGCAAUAACAACUUUGGCACCAUUGUUAACGAAUUUGGUUGCGGUUGCCUUCCCAAUACCACUUGCUGCUCCAGUGAUCAGUGCUACCUUCCCCUCUAAUUUCCUUCCAUGCUGGGUAGAAAAUCCCUUGGUGAAGAUCUCAGCAAGUGAAGUUCUUGAAAUGGAAACACCUUUACUGUUUCAAUAAUAAUGAGAACAGUUUAGCGGUAUUGAGCUAUACUACAAGAAAGGACAACUACAGCACAUCUUUUCUUAUCUUAUCAUAGCCGACCAGGCAUUGGGUCAACUCCUUCGCCGCAGAAAUUCAAGAUCAAGUUGAAUUAAUCUAUUAGCAGAAGAAAAGAAAAGAUCCUCACUGUACAAGGAGAAGCUGCAAUACAGCUCUCCCGGUAACAGCAUAUGUAGGAGGAAAAAACAACAGAAGCUUCAAUCAAUCUUAUGCGAUAAAGAUCUAAAAAGAAACAUACCUAAAUCCAAAUUUGAACAUACUUCCACAGCAGAAGUGAAACAAAGAGAUCGGUUUAGCUGUCAGUAUGCCGAGCUCGUGCUCAGUUAGCCUCCACGGUCAAGCUUUUGCUCUGGGUGGAGAGUUGGAAGUUAUUGCCUGGCGAUUAUGCCCUUCCUUUUUAUAAUAAGCUCUCCAAACAUGUCGGAUUGCUGACGGACAAGGG